rnacentral:snRNA from 1 species
UCACUUUGGCAGCACAUAUGCUAGAAUUGGAAUGUUACAGAGAAGAUGAGCAUGGCUCCUGCAAAAGGAUGACAUGCAAAUUCAUGAAGAGUUCCAUAGUUUU